GACGAACGCUGGCGGCGUGCUUAACACAUGCAAGUCGAGCGGAAAGGCCCUUCGGGGUACUCGAGCGGCGAACGGGUGAGUAACACGUGAGUAACCUGCCCCAGACUUUGGGAUAACCCUCGGAAACGGGGGCUAAUACCGGAUACGACACAGCUUCGCAUGGGGUCUGUGUGGAAAGUUUUUCGGUUUGGGAUGGGCUCGCGGCCUAUCAGCUUGUUGGUGGGGUGACGGCCUACCAAGGCGACGACGGGUAGCCGGCCUGAGAGGGCGACCGGCCACACUGGGACUGAGACACGGCCCAGACUCCUACGGGAGGCAGCAGUGGGGAAUAUUGCACAAUGGGCGGAAGCCUGAUGCAGCGACGCCGCGUGAGGGAUGACGGCCUUCGGGUUGUAAACCUCUUUCAGCAGGGACGAAGCGUAAGUGACGGUACCUGCAGAAGAAGCGCCGGCCAACUACGUG
rnacentral:rRNA from 1 species